CUACGGGGGGCUGCAGUGGGGAAUAUUGCACAAUGGGCGCAAGCCUGAUGCAGCCAUGCCGCGUGUAUGAAGAAGGCCUUCGGGUUGUAAAGUACUUUCAGCGGGGAGGAAGGGAGUAAAGUUAAUACCUUUGCUCAUUGACGUUACCCGCAGAAGAAGCACCGGCGUACUCCGUGCCAGCAGCCGCGGGUAAUACGGAGGGUGCAAGCGUUAAUCGGAAUUACUGGGCGUAAAGCGCACGCAGGCGGUUUGUUAAGUCAGAUGUGAAAUCCCCGGGCUCAACCUGGGAACUGCAUCUGAUACUGGCAAGCUUGAGUCUCGUAGAGGGGGGUAGAAUUCCAGGUGUAGCGGUGAAAUGCGUAGAGAUCUGGAGGAAUACCGGUGGCGAAGGCGGCCCCCUGGACGAAGACUGACGCUCAGGUGCGAAAGCGUGGGGAGCAAACAGGAUUAGAUACCCGGGUAGUC
rnacentral:rRNA from 1 species